AUUCCACGGUUUCCGCGCCGCAGCUAACGCAUUAAGUGCCCCGCCUGGGGAGUACGGCCGCAAGGCUAAAACUCAAAGGAAUUGACGGGGGCCCGCACAAGCGGCGGAGCAUGCGGAUUAAUUCGAUGCAACGCGAAGAACCUUACCAAGGCUUGACAUGUUCUCGAUCGCCGUGGAGAUACGGUUUCCCCUUUGGGGCGGGUUCACAGGUGGUGCAUGGUUGUCGUCAGCUCGUGUCGUGAGAUGUUGGGUUAAGUCCCGCAACGAGCGCAACCCUCGUUCCAUGUUGCCAGCACGUCAUGGUGGGGACUCAUGGGAGACUGCCGGGGUCAACUCGGAGGAAGGUGAGGACGACGUCAAAUCAUCAUGCCCCUUAUGUCUUGGGCUUCACGCAUGCUACAAUGGCCGGUACAAUGGGUUGCGAUACUGUGAGGUGGAGCUAAUCCCAAAAAGCCGGUCUCAGUUCGGAUUGGGGUCUGCAACUCGACCCCAUGAAGUCGGAGUCGCUAGUAAUCGCAGAUCAGCAACGCUGCGGUGAAUACGUUCCCGGGCCUUGUACACACCGCCCGUCAAGUCACGAAAGUUGGUAACACCCGAAGCCGGUGGCCUAACCCUUGUGGGGGGAGCCGUCGAAGGUGGGACCAGCGAUUGGGACUAAGUC
rnacentral:rRNA from 1 species